rnacentral:misc_RNA from 1 species
UAUUGGAUUUUGGUUGGUUUUUUGACGUGGAUUCACGGUUAUCGAUCGAUCGAUCACACAACGCCCUGAAAAGAACGCGAUCGUGGAGUUAAAAAAGUAAAUGCUGCCGCAAUAAAUCGCGGCAAACAAAAAGAGAGAGAGUUACAAACUGCCGGCGCCCAAGGGCACGCGGCCGGGGGUGAUAAUGGCGGGCCUUGCGGCCACACGCAAAUCAUUAAUGAUCCUUCCGCAGGUUCACCUACGGAAA